CCAGUUCAAUUAAAACAAAUCUGAAUGUAAAACAUGACCAAAAUACACUUUCACACUUCAUGUGUUAUUUGAAUUAUGAUUCAGUUUUUGAGAAAUUUCUAUGAGCAGACUGAGCGGGCAUUUUAAAGGAAGAAUGUGCGACUUUUUACUCAUAAAUAUUUCAUAAAUCAAGUCUCUCCUGUGUACAUGUGUCUCUGAGUCAUGACUGUCUACAAUGAGGGAGAAGCUUGAGUCCUGCUGGCUGUGUUGUUGUCAGAGCUGUGUUUACAUGGACAUGAUGGCCCCUUAUAAAGCUAGAAAAGAAGAAGAACGUACUCACUGCUUAUUUAGAUGACACGUUAGCUACAAGCUAACUAAAGAGUGCUAACAUUAGCCUGCUAACACAACAAUGCAGACCACAGUCAUUUGCAGCUUGAGCCAAGGACAAGUUUGUUAGCUGCUUGCGCUAAACUCGUCCGUGCUUCAGUAUGGCAGAGGUGGCAGUUUGUUUUGGUUUUAUGCUAGGGCUCAAGGGCGACAUCUAUGGGAUCAAAAAGUCACACAUUCUUCCUUUAAUCACCUGUGAUAUUUACCACUGGCUACAUAAGCUUAUUGUGAUUUUGUCAUGUCAAGUCUUUAAAUAUUUAUGCAAGUUCUGCUAUUUGUCUGGAGGCUCUGUGUUGUAACCAAGCACUUCACCUAAUGUACUGAAGUCCUCAACAAAUAAACAUUAUCAGAAAGAGGUCUUAACUUUAUGUGGCAAAAGUAAAAUUAUAGUGGCUGUUUUAAAGAGCAUUAUGAAAUCAUCUAUCUGCUGUGUCUAAUAUGGAGAAGCAUAACAGUCUGUUUUCUUCAGGUUUCAGGUUUUUUUUAAAAAUCAAAGUCAAUUUAUAUAUUUUUUUGUAUAUUUCUUUGGUUAAAAAAUGACUGAUAAUGACCAAUAAACCAUCAUGACCCUUCGGUGUCUGAUUGAAGUGUUGCUCUGUGGU